GCGAGCGUGGGAGAGGCCGCCGCAGCUCCGGCCCUGCUUCCCCGCUCCCUGGGGCAGAGCCGCCUUGGCAGAGGCGGGGCCCCUGGGAGGGGCUUGGCAGAAGGAGCAGCGCAGGUGCAGGGUCGCAGCCGCCGAGCUCUGCUCGACCUGGAGGGUAGUGGAAGAUGGCCCAAGUCCGUGGCUGCUGCAGCCACGAGGGAGACCUGGAAGAAGCUCCUGGCUCCUGGCUUCAGCUACCAGCUGCUGGCCUGUGCUCUGGCCACCCCAGUUCCGCGGACCCCAUCAGUGUAAAGGUGUACUCUACUAACUACCAAAAACGAGCAAGGAGAAACCCAGGACGCACCCGGCCGUGAGUACUGCCGGGCAAAGCAUCCAAGCCCGGCCCGGCCCUGCUGGCAGCCUCCUGUGUCCUCGCAGCCCGGGAUCCAGCCUCCGCCUCGUGGCUACAGUUCCACUAACAGCCACAGAGCAGAAACGUGUCCCCUCCCAGGUCACACACACCCCGCAUCAAACUAGCUCAAAGAACAUCUGAAUUUCCCUGUGUCCACCCUAACAUGAAGAAAACUGGAAAGCAAACAUCUGAGGAAUUUGGACUGUCACAUGAAAAUCCAAAAUUAGAAAAAUAACGAAGAAUUUGGUUCUGUAUUUCAGAUAAAUUUAAUACUUGAAAUAUGUAAUAAAAUUAUGAAAUAAAAUGUCAAGAGUGGGCCACAGGUAGUGAGUUUAUAGAGCACAGGGUGUGAGGGAGCAGCUGAGAUCUGCUUUGCUCUGAGAAGUCUCACUGAUGUGUUGUCUGCUUGCCUGGCCUUUGUUACGAUUUGAGCAACCACUGUCCACUCCCACACCCCCUGGAGACUGGCCCAGGGUCCAGACCAAGCCCUGGCACCGAGGCCACACCCAGGGCCAACCAGGUCACUGGCAGACGUGAUUCAAGCCAGGAACCUUUCCUCUUUCCCUUUCUGCCCCCCCCCCCCCGCCCACAGCCUUAUUUCACC